AACUUACAAUGAUUUUUUUUUUUUUUUUUUUUUUUUUUGUAAGAAAGAGGGAAGACAGCACUUGAAGGGAAAGAGGGUAAAGAAGAGGAAGGGAGGUUACAAUUGAGAGCACCGCAGAAGGAAGCGAUGCAGAUGUUCGGCUCUGGCGGACCGAAGGAGGAACCCCACGCAUAGCACAGCUAUCAUGGAUGCUGAUGGGGCCCCAGAGCCCCCUUCGCCAGGCUGCCGUCGUCAGCCUAGAGCUGUCCCCAUCCCCAGAGAUUUGGCCUGAGUCAAAUAUGAGCACGCCCUGGAAGAGUUUUUCCUGAAAAACACUUCCCAUCAAUGUCUGUCGGAUGGCCAGGUGCGGUGGCUCACGUCCGUAAUCUCAGCCCUUUGGGAGGCUGAGGCGGGAGGAUUGCUUGAGCUCAGGAGUUUGAGACCAGCCUGGGCAAAUAGUGAGACCUCAUCUCAACUAAAAUAAACUAUUAGCUGGAUGGGAUGGA